GAGGAAAAAUCAUACCCAUGUAACAAGUCUUCAUUGACCUUACCAAUGCUUUUGAUGCUAUUAGACUUCCAGCUCUGUGAAAACCGUUGGCACUAUUUCCGAACUCCUGGAUGUCCAGAAAAGUUUGUGAAAUUAUCCGUCAUCUGCACAAUGGUGUGCUGGAUAGAGGCUGCGGCUGGCACUCUGUUGGAUCCAUUUGUAAUAGCAAAAGGAGUCAAGCAAAGCUUUCUCCAUCCUUGUGUCUCUGCAGUUCAGUGACCUCAACACGGGAGGAGAAAUGUGUGUGUCCCAGAAGCCCCACAUGUUGGUCAAGCCAGCUGAGAAGGUAUACAGUUUAUCAUUUACAUCUUUUAAUUGCACAUUCUCUUUCACUCCUCACCAUCAAACACACCUUAUGGCCAUGAACAUUUCUUGUUAUUCCACUUAAUGGAUACAGAAGAAGAGGGGAAGGGAAAUUAAUGUUCAAACUAACGAUCACCUCCUCUGGGAAGUAUUUGGCUUCGUGGCAGAUUAAGCCUAUUGGGCUGUAUGACGGGCAGUGGUUUGGGUGGGAGAUUCGUGCUUGGAUUAUUUUUUGUUAGCACCGCUGUUAAAUAUUUCACCUCUUUGAGAAUAAUUUCUUCAUAGAUAUAUAUAGUUGCUGGUUUUCAUGCUGGAUGAAAUAAUUCUGUGCCCAC
rnacentral:lncRNA from 1 species